rnacentral:rRNA from 1 species
CGAGUCUUUGUAGCAAUACAAGGCAUACGGCUCAGUAACGCGUAGUCAACUCUAACCUAUGGACGGGAAUAACCUCGGGAAACUGAGAAUAAUGCCCGAUAGAACACUAUACCUGGAAUGGUUUGUGUUCCAAAUGAUUUAUCGCCGUAGGAUGGGACUGCGGCCUAUCAGUUUGUUGGUGAGGUAAUGGCCCACCAAGACUAUUACAGGUACGGGCUCUGAGAGGAGUAGCCCGGAGAUGGGUACUGAGACACGGACCCAGGCCCUAUGGGGCGCAGCAGGCGAGAAAACUUUGCAAUGUGCGAAAGCACGACAAGGUUAAUCCGAGUGGUUUCUGCUAAAGGAACCUUUUGUUAGUCAUAGAACCACUAACGAAUAAGGGGUGGGCAAGUUCUGGUGUCAGCCGCCGCGGUAAAACCAGCACCUCAAGUGGUCAGGAUGAUUAUUGGGCCUAAAGCAUCCGUWGCCGGCUCUGUAAGUUUUCGGUUAUAUCUGUACGCUCAACKUACAGGCUGCCGGGNAUACUGCACAGCUAGGGUA